rfam:Trypanosoma congolense IL3000, WGS project CAEQ01000000 data, contig: 555
CACGGGGCGAUCCGAGGCUAACUGGCUCCUACCCGUGCUGUGUGAAGCCUUCUGGUAGUUCCGGAGAUGU